GUUAAGCGACUAAGCGUACACGGUGGAUGCCCUGGCAGUCAGAGGCGAUGAAGGACGUGCUAAUCUGCGAUAAGCGUCGGUAAGGUGAUAUGAACCGUUAUAACCGGCGAUUUCCGAAUGGGGAAACCCAGUGUGAUUCGUCACACUAUCAUUAACUGAAUCCAUAGGUUAAUGAGGCGAACCGGGGGAACUGAAACAUCUAAGUACCCCGAGGAAAAGAAAUCAACCGAGAUUCCCCCAGUAGCGGCGAGCGAACGGGGAGCAGCCCAGAGCCUGAAUCAGUGUGUGUGUUAGUGGAAGCGUCUGGAAAGGCGCGCGAUACAGGGUGACAGCCCCGUACACAAAAAUGCACAUGCUGUGAGCUCGAUGAGUAGGGCGGGACACGUGGUAUCCUGUCUGAAUAUGGGGGGACCAUCCUCCAAGGCUAAAUACUCCUGACUGACCGAUAGUGAACCAGUACCGUGAGGGAAAGGCGAAAAGAACCCCGGCGAGGGGAGUGAAAAAGAACCUGAAACCGUGUACGUACAAGCAGUGGGAGCACGCUUAGGCGUGUGACUGCGUACCUUUUGUAUAAUGGGUCAGCGACUUAUAUUCUGUAGCAAGGUUAACCGAAUAGGGGAGCCGAAGGGAAACCGAGUCUUAACUGGGCGUUAAGUUGCAGGGUAUAGACCCGAAACCCGGUGAUCUAGCCAUGGGCAGGUUGAAGGUUGGGUAACACUAACUGGAGGACCGAACCGACUAAUGUUGAAAAAUUAGCGGAUGACUUGUGGCUGGGGGUGAAAGGCCAAUCAAACCGGGAGAUAGCUGGUUCUCCCCGAAAGCUAUUUAGGUAGCGCCUCGUGAAUUCAUCUCCGGGGGUAGAGCACUGUUUCGGCAAGGGGGUCAUCCCGACUUACCAACCCGAUGCAAACUGCGAAUACCGGAGAAUGUUAUCACGGGAGACACACGGCGGGUGCUAACGUCCGUCGUGAAGAGGGAAACAACCCAGACCGCCAGCUAAGGUCCCAAAGUCAUGGUUAAGUGGGAAACGAUGUGGGAAGGCCCAGACAGCCAGGAUGUUGGCUUAGAAGCAGCCAUCAUUUAAAGAAAGCGUAAUAGCUCACUGGUCGAGUCGGCCUGCGCGGAAGAUGUAACGGGGCUAAACCAUGCACCGAAGCUGCGGCAGCGACGCUUAUGCGUUGUUGGGUAGGGGAGCGUUCUGUAAGCCUGUGAAGGUGUGCUGUGAGGCAUGCUGGAGGUAUCAGAAGUGCGAAUGCUGACAUAAGUAACGAUAAAGCGGGUGAAAAGCCCGCUCGCCGGAAGACCAAGGGUUCCUGUCCAACGUUAAUCGGGGCAGGGUGAGUCGACCCCUAAGGCGAGGCCGAAAGGCGUAGUCGAUGGGAAACAGGUUAAUAUUCCUGUACUUGGUGUUACUGCGAAGGGGGGACGGAGAAGGCUAUGUUGGCCGGGCGACGGUUGUCCCGGUUUAAGCGUGUAGGCUGGUUUUCCAGGCAAAUCCGGAAAAUCAAGGCUGAGGCGUGAUGACGAGGCACUACGGUGCUGAAGCAACAAAUGCCCUGCUUCCAGGAAAAGCCUCUAAGCAUCAGGUAACAUCAAAUCGUACCCCAAACCGACACAGGUGGUCAGGUAGAGAAUACCAAGGCGCUUGAGAGAACUCGGGUGAAGGAACUAGGCAAAAUGGUGCCGUAACUUCGGGAGAAGG
rnacentral:rRNA from 1 species